rnacentral:misc_RNA from 1 species
AAGUCGUAACAAGGUUUCCGUAGGUGAACCUGCGGAAGGAUCAUUAUCACGUAUCCACGUAUAAACCAUUGUGAACUGUCACCACCUUUGGGGAAAAUGAGAAGAUUCAAACGUUCAGGGUUCUUUCUGUAAUUUAAGACCUGUUUGUUUCGUUCAGAUGCAAAUCCGAACUCAUUUCUCUGAAGUGUAUUUAAAUUACAUUUGAUUAACAAUUUGAACCACCUUUUAAAUUUUGAACUUAUUUAUUUCUUACUCUUCGGAGAAGAAAUUCAUUACGAAACAAAGAACAACUCUUAGCAA